AUUGAACGCUGGCGGCAGGCUUAACACAUGCAAGUCGAACGAGUGGCGGACGGGUGAGUAAUGCUUGGGAAACUGGCUUAUGGAGGGGGAUAACUACGGGAAACUGUAGCUAAUACCGCGUACCAUAGGAUGAGCCCAAGUGGGAUUAGGUAGUUGGUGAGGUAAAGGCUCACCAAGCCGACGAUCCCUAGCUGGUCUGAGAGGAUGACCAGCCACACUGGGACUGAGACACGGCCCAGACUCCUACGGGAGGCAGCAGUGGGGAAUAUUGCGCAAUGGGCGCAACCCUGACGCAGCCAUGCCGCGUGAAUGAAGAAGGCCUUCGGGUUGUAAAGUACUUUCGGUGGGGAGGCGUUACCCACAGAAGAAGCACCGGCUAACUCCGUGCCAGCAGCCGCGGUAAUAC
rnacentral:rRNA from 1 species